UCUGCAAAGUCCUGCUGGCCCUUGGG
rnacentral:piRNA from 1 species